GGUCGGUUGGCCCAGUGGUUAGAGCGUAGGUCCUCUAACCGAAAGGUCACAGGAUUGAAUCCCGCCAGAGGCUG
rnacentral:tRNA from 1 species